UAUAAGCGGAUUUUUUCAUGAAACUUGAAUCUUUGCUGUCAAAUGAAUAGUUUUAUAUUUGGCUACUUACUGAUAGAGUAUAAUUGUGAAAGGUUAUUUUUUGCUCUACGUAUUUUGAGGUCUUCCUUUCUAUGUGAAACUAGCGCCCAGUUUAAGUUUAUUUUGAAACCGUGAAGUCUUCUGUGUGAUCAUAUUGCGCUUCCGGCUAACUUGACGGCGGGGGCUGAACACGGAUUUCCUAGGAUUGAAGAAUUGUGAUGACGCAAAUACACACGCACAAUGAAAUGGUAAAUAAGUGAAACCAGUAGGUGGAGCCAAAGUCCAAUCCACCAGCGGCAACUUUCCAUGCUGAGAAGAAUCACACGUGACUCUGAUUUCACCAGAGAUGGUGACUAAUAAGUUUCGUUUCUAAAAAAGUCCCAAAUGACUUGAAGUAUAUUUGAUAGUAUAGUUCAGUCUGUCUUUCUCACUUAUUAUUAAUGGCAGCAGCAUUUCUAUUAGCCUAUGAGGUCCCAACUCCUGGUCAGAAUGUGGCCUUGAUUGAAAAACUCAUGACCCUUGAACACGUCAUCUAUCCGACCCUUCACCCCCUUAACUUAUUAACCUAACUAACAAACCCAGAAAAAAACAGGACACCAAUAAGUGAUCGAUUGAAAGGUAGCAGUUUCCUGGAGUUAUAUCCCCUCUGGAAGAGACUGUCAUUGUUGCAAAGGUUUAAAAUAAGUGGAAACAAAGAAUAGAAUUUCCGUCUACUAGCUCAUUGACACUGUUUUAUUUUUUAAUAGUACCACAAAGCCUUUAUUUAGGUUUAUUCACCAGUCUCCACUUUCUCUCGCUAUCCAGAAACGAAGCCUAAACAACCCAGGUCCGAACUCUGGCGUUUUGUGCCGAUGUGUCGUCAUCUGGAGCCGAGACCAUCAUUUCAGCUGAUGGAGGUGGUGCACCACAGUGAUCUCUGGUGGCUGCAUGGACUAACUGCAUACUGCCGUGGCUGGUUCAACGUCUGCCAGGCUGAAGGUGAUUUUGGGGGAGAUUAACGUUGAAAAACUGACUCUUCCAGAUGGAAUCCCAAACUCAGUGGAUGACCUUCUCUUCAAGAUAAAGAAUACCUUUGGGCUGGAGGGCAACAUCAGAGUACAAAACCUGGACCCAGAUUUUGGCAACGACUUUUUCAACCUGAAUUCUACCACUGAGCUUCAGGAUUUGGGGACAAUCAAGGUGAUCCACCAGCAAACAAAUCCACAGUGCCACUGAGACCACAUCAUCUCAUUCACUGUCACCUGAGUCCGAUGACAGUUUUUCAGCGGAUCAAAUGAUACAGCGCUCCUCUUGUAACAGAUUGGAGAAAACUAAAAUGACAGAAUGGCCCUUUAGGCCUCAACAGGAAAAGGAGGGGCAAGGAAGAUAAUAAAGGUGAAACGCCUGUGUGGAAAAACUCAAACAAAGGAGUAUGGAGUGUAAACAGGUUAAGGAGCGUGACUGUAGGAAGGAGAAAAAAAACAGCUAAACAAGUUAAAGAAAGUUGAACAAGAACUGGAUGGAGUGAUGGCACCAACGUCCUGGACCCUGAGGAACAGAAGCUAAUCCCUUGAGCCGGAAGUGAAUUUUAAACCCAUGUACCCGGCUCGGAUCGGAACGCGAUUCCCUCAGUCCUGGAUGGAACCAACCAGAUAAGUCCACUCUUGACACUCUCCUGGCUUCACCAAGCUCUCUUGGCUCUGGAAAAUACUCCCCUCAUCUUCCCUCUACCUGGAGAUUAAGGCCCUCCAAAACAACAAACAAACAUUUCCCUUACUGCACCUUUUCAUUGGACCCUAACUCCCCUCUCCAACAAAACCCCCCACACACACACCACCUAACACUUGAACUUGUACUCUUAAUGAAGGUUUCUUCCACAUGUUUACUGAAGGGACGGUUAAUUGUUCUUAUUUUGAAAAUAAUUUGAUUUCAUGGAGUACUGAAUAUUUUGGUUGAAAAUAGUUAUUUUUCUGUUUAUCUAUCUAUCGUACAUAUUUGGAUUUGAUGUUAACCUGAGUAAAUAAUAUAAUUGAAGAUAUACUGAUUAACCUUAUUUAUGGAUGUGAUUUAUUUUCCUUUGAAGUUUUGUGUAGCUAGGUACAUGAGCUAUCCGGGUUACCUCUCAUACCGGGAUAUAUUAUAAAUGUUGACAGGUGAAGAAUCCCUGUCUGGAGCCCAACUUUUAUAUUUUUUCAAUUUAGAAAACCUACGCUACACUCUCGUCUCCUGAGUCUGUGUCAUCUCGAAAACAACAGUGGCCAGCGGCCUUCCCACUACCUCGAUUUUCAUACGACACAGGGCUGCAACUAGAGAAGGGGAAUUCUGAGUAGCCUAAAAAUAUUGACCCUCGCUUCCCGAAGGAAGUCUGAUAUCCUGAAUAGACUAGCAGAAGAAAUGUUCAAGUACAAAGCUUACCCAGAAGAUGCCCAUUUCUGCAAAGUUGCAGAGGCCUUAAUCAAGAAGCACCCCUUGUUGAAAUGAGCCUUGUGGCUGCUAGGGUUGGAAACACAGACUGAAGUACAAAAUGGGGAACUUCAGGACUCAGCUGAAAUUUCAGGGGUGUCCACAUCUGUCAGUAAAUUCCCUCAAAUCCAAAGCCACCACAGAUGCUUUCCCGGCUAAAAAAGUGAAGAGGCCAAAACGAGCUGAGGCAAAAAAAUGUCCAUCCUUAACCAUCGGUGAGACUCUGGAAAGCCUUGAAAAAGAGAGACUUGAACUUCAGAGGCAGGUCAGCAUAAUGAAUAACAAAGGGGUCAUCACAGACAAAAUGGCUCUCACAUUUGCCUACAGAAGACAAGAGGUCAUUAACAAAGACCCCAGCCUAAAAUAUUUCAAGGACAGAUGGCCUGGACUCCAUAUUUGUUACCCUUUUUGGUGUAUUUAUAUUUUUGUGGUUGUAUAUGCUUCUGUGGCUACUUAGGAAAACCUAAGGUUGUGUACCAGUCCAUUUGUGUAAGGAUACCAUAUCAAUUGUCAUUUGUUUUAAGAUCAACGCAGAGUUCCAGAGGCUCAUGGCUGCUACCCUUGAGGAAAAAUUCAUGGCCCAGUUGGACAUGAACUCCAGUGAGCUGAUCAGAGUCAUCCGUUUGAAAGGAGGAGGAACACGCCAGAAGCUUGCUGGCAUCGUUCAGACUUUGGACCAGUUAGAUGUGUAUCAUCAUAAGAUAAAAUAGAUAAGAUACAUGUAUUAAUCCCAAACACACAUGCACAGUCACACUACAUGCAGAUGAGGGAAAUGUGUCCUCUGCUUUCGAACCAUCUGGAGAACAUAGCAGGACACACAGAGCAGUGGGCAGCCAUGCAUGGCGCCCCGGGGAGCAGAUGUUGGGGGAGUAAGGCGCCUUGCUCAGGGGCACUUAGACAGUGGAGAUCCUUGUUUUUCUAUCUGUAUCAUUCAUAGAUACAUAAACAUGGGCAGACCAAUGUUGACCACGUCUUUUGAUUUACAGGUCAUGUUUUCAGCUGUAGAAAAGCUACACCAUUGCAAUAAGAUUGUUCUUUUUAAAUGAAUAUCUAGAAUCACAUAUGCCUCUUUUAAGCAGAUGAAAGAGUUUAGCUGUAAGAGUUAAGACAUCUGUUUUUAGAGAUUUGGAAAAUUAAAAUUAAUCAAGAUAAUUUUUUCCUAGACUGACGAUAUUCAUCUUCAAAGAGAGUGUUUCCUGAAAGCCCUCGUCAUUUUCCUGGGAGAAGAUCCAGAUGACCUUAUCAAGGAAUAUCUUGUUGUGUCCAGCAGAAGUUGCUUUCCUGACCGAGUACUGCUCUGUGUUGAAACCUGUGGUAAAGGCCUUAAACAUUCUUCAGUCAGAGACCAACACACACUUGGGGGGGCUUCUCCCAGUGAUCUUUGAGUUACAAGCAAAACUCAGCAGGCAGGAGACAUCCUCCUAGAUGUGCUUGCCACUCAUCAGAGCGAUUCGGCAUGGUGUCCAAAAGCGUUUUGGAGAGGUGAUGGAAGACCCAGAGUUGAUCGCAGCAGCAAUCCUUCUACCAAAGCUCAAAACUGGCUAGACUGAUAUCAUAGAAGCAGCAGCACCGCCCUCUGCUGUUUGCAAAGAGAAGUGAAAAAAGGCUCUCAAGUAGCCGCACCACCCUCUGCUGUUUGUAAAGACGUUCACCAUCCAACCUGAUGGAACUGGAGAGGAUCUGCAAGGAAGAAUGGCAGAGGAUCCCCAAAUCCAGGUGACUCUGCACCAGAGGCUGGACCAGAACCUGCGACUCCCUCUGAGUGAGAAGGGGGCGUAUUCUCCUGAUGUUCUACAGCAUGAAUCUAGAGGAACGGUUUGUUGCAGUAAUGUUGGCAGUGAAGGAGAGUCGACUGUCGAGUGUCACACCCAUUUUUCUAUCAGUCUGGGGCGUGGAUAUUGUGUUGUACUUUGAAUUCCUAGUUACCUGUUUUAUUUUGAAUCUUUGUUCUUUGCGUAUCUCUCUCACUUUACUUUCUGUCUUUGUCCUGUUUCCCAUCGUGGUUUGUCUCCAUCUUCUCCUCAUGUGUUUCCCAUGUGGUCUAUUAUCUCUGCCUCCUCUUUGUGUAGAGUCUUUAUGUUUCUCUUUGUCAGGUUGACCUUUAUGUUUGGGUUUAUUCAGUCGUCCUGCUCCUGUGUUUCCUGUUGUCUAUACUUUCUUUUGCCAUCCUUCUACGUGUGAGCCAGUUUUUAUUUAUAUAUACAGUGGUGGCCAAAAUUUUUAGAACACUUGGCAUAUUUAAGAGUUUUCAGUUGUUUCUGUUGAAGUGGCCAUUAAAAUACCCAUUAAACGAUGAAAUAUAGUAGUCUUGAAGCACAUGUUGCUCUUUGAACAUGGCUAAGGUAAAGAAGGAGCUAAUGAGUAGGCAACAGGCUUGAAUUAAGGCCCUUUUGGGUGCAGUCCAAGCACUGUAGGGGAGAGCGGGGUAAUGUGGGACAUCGGGUAAUGUGAGUCACCCCUGUAUCUAGGCAACGGAACACAUUUGUGGUCAAUUGACCAUUAUGUUUUCAAGCCCCUCCUAUUCCCCCCUUGCCAUGAAGGAGAAGUUGGUGCAGGUGCUGUGGAAAGUAUGUUUUUUCACAAAAAUUUGUUUUUUGCAUGUCAAAGUAAAAUUGAACUUAAUCAACUGUUGUGUCAAAACAAAUUUAAUCAGGUAGAAAAACUUAUAUCAUACAUGUUGGUGAACUUCCAACAUAUAAAACCAGGCUAACCCUAAAGAUUAGCCUGAAUUGCUAAGAGAUGUUUUUCUAAAACGGUGGCUGUGGGGUAAAGUGGGUCAAAUGCUGUGGAGCACAAGUUAACAUAUUUAAGUGUAAUAUGACAUUACAUGUGAUUUAUUUAUGUCAUAAAACAUUGUAGAAAAGCCAUCAUGCCAAGAAACUACACACCAGGAAGACAACCUGGGGCCAAACACCCCUCGCAGAGAUGGAGAGUGCAGCCGCUGAGGUCAUGCAAGGAAAGAAGUCCUUAAGAAAAGCAGGAAGAGAUAGAAAUAUUGAUAAGACAACCCUCAACAGAUUCAUAAAGAAAAAAGAGAAAGGGGAAGUAAAAUCAGUAGCCUGGGGUGCAGUAGCUGAGGUAAAGAGAAUAUUCACAGAUGGAGGAGGAGCUUGCCACACACUUGAAACAACAAGCUGACCAGUUCCAUGGCCUUGCUCCAGUUAAGUGCCGUGAACUGGCAUUUGAAUACGCAGAGAAAAACAAUAUCCCUGUCCCUGCCAAUUGGACAGAGAAACAAUGUGCAGGUAAGCUAUGGUGUGCAAGAGAUCACAUGAAUCAUAAUAAUCAUAAAUGUGCUUAAUUGACCAAUCCCCAUGAUUCUCUUACUAGUCCGAUAUUAGUGGUUGUCAAUCUAGCUGUCAGGAUUUGAACUAUUACAACAUGUGUUGUUAUGGUAGUUUUAAAGUGGAAAAAGUAAGUGGACCACUUUACCCCGUUGCCGGGGUAAUGUGGGACACAAGACCACUUUUUUUAAAACAAUCAUAUUGUCACUGCCCUUUGUCCUGAAGACAUUCGGAUCAUUGAUGAGUGAUGAGAUCAACAGCACAAUGACUGAUGGUGCAACAGUGACUUCAAAAACUGCGAUGGAAACUGGGAGAAGAAGGACUUGUUGGCAGAAUAGCAGCAAAGAAAGAAAGAAAUGGACAAAGGAAGAUUGGUAUAAAUUGUUGUGGACUGAUGAGUCCCAGUUUGAACAGUUUGGCAACAAGCGAAGAGUGUAUGUUCGACGGAGGGUGGGGGAAAGAUAUAAAAAUGAGAUCUGUUGUACAUGCAAAGGAAAGCCUUUGUAUUGAGUUGCAGAAGCCAUGGGAUACAAUUUGUGUUGAAGCUCUAUAUAUUUAAACUUUGCCAGAGAGAUGUGCUGCUGUAAUUGCUGCAAAAGGUGGACAUACCAAAUAUUAAAGAUAAAAGUGGAUAAAAACAGUAGGACUCACCUCAUCUGUUAUUUGUUUGUGCUCAGAGCAACCAUCUGC